rnacentral:lncRNA from 1 species
GGAUCAUUUGGCAUGUUCAUCGACUAUGUUAACCCAUUGAGUGGCAGCAUGCACUUUCCCCCUGACGAGUAAAAUUGUCUGGCGUUAGCCAGAGUAAACUAACAAAGUAGGGCGCAUCUGGGUGCAUUGACUUAAAGGGUUAAGAUGUAAAUACCACAGCACAACACUUGUACAUAUACAACAGCAAUCUUUUUAUAUAUUUAAUAGUCAUAUUUACAUAUUGGUGAAAUAUCAAUGUUCAUAUAUUAGGGAUGUCCAUGAACUUCUGAAAUCAGAACUUGUUCCUAGUUUGAAGCUGAAGUAUUCAUAUCUUUUGUAUCAGUUGUCCCUCUACUAACCAACUUUUAGUCAUGAUACAAGAGUUGAAUUUGCAUUCAUUUGCUUCGCAAGUCGCAACAAACUGAACAAAGUACUAAACCAUAAACCUGUGUAAUGAUCGAGCGUCUUGAGCGACAUAUCCAAGUCUUUUAAACGUCGCAUACGAACAAAUCUCGCUGAGUUUUUUCCACAGAAAGUAUUGAUCCAUUUGAUCGAUCGCCGUACUUUGAGAAAAGCUUGAAAUGCAAAAUUCACAGGGAAGAUUGAAGAAUUUCGUACUAAAAACCUAAAAACUGUUGGUCGUCGAGUUUCACCUCUAGAAUUCAC